UAGGGAAUCUUCCACAAUGGACGCAAGUCUGAUGGAGCAACGCCGCGUGAGUGAAGAAGGCUUUCGGGUCGUAAAACUCUGUUAUUGAAGAAGAACGUGUGUGACAGUAACUGGUCAUGCAGUGACGGUAUUCAAUCAGAAAGUCACGGCUAACUACGUGCCAGCAGCCGCGGUAAUACGUAGGUGGCAAGCGUUGUCCGGAUUUAUUGGGCGUAAAGCGAGUGCAGGCGGUCUUUUAAGUCUGAUAUGAAAGCCUUCGGCUUAACCGAAGAGGNCAUCGGAAACUGGGAGACUUGAGUGCAGAAGAGGAGAGUGGAACUCCAUGUGUAGCGGUGAAAUGCGUAGAUAUAUGGGAAGAACACCAGUGGCGAAGG
rnacentral:rRNA from 1 species